AACCCCAGGGACUGAGUCACUGCCCGCUUUGUUCCCACAGGCCCACAACCUUCACACUUGCAGCUCUGGGCUCCAGCACCUAAUUCCUUCAGUCUCUGCCUUCAAAACACAAAGGUCUCAGGAGGAACAUGGAAGAAACAGAGAUACUUUCAGUGGAACAGAAUAAACCACUGAACAGGUUCUUUCUACCAGUCUCUAAGCUCCCUGCUGAUAUUCCCAUGCCCACUGACGUCUGCACUUGGAUGUCUCGUUGGCACCUCCUGUCCAAGAAGUUCCACAUUGAUCCAGGUACCCAAGCUUGAAACCUGUGACUUACUGAUCC
rnacentral:lncRNA from 1 species